rnacentral:lncRNA from 1 species
CUUUCCAGAAAUGUGCGUGUGCGUGGCCUCCUUGCCUCUAGUAAUGGCGGGAGUUUCCAUUUCUACCGUAAUAGAACGGAAACGGUGCCAAGAGUCCACUGUGAGGAGGGUGCGGGACAAGCUGGGUGUGACGGCUCACACCAUCCAAUCUGCUGGGACCCAGAGAGAACAAAAACAGAGAAAAGGUGAAUGUGUCUGUCCAUCUGC